rnacentral:lncRNA from 1 species
UUUGCUAUGUGGAGAAACAUAUAUUUUCUACCAUUACCAUUGAUACAAUGUUUAAUCUUUUUAAGGCGAUGAAAGAUCGAAAGGGGUCACUCUAAAAUGUGAGUGCCUUUACAAGAAUAUUUCGUUGAUAAUACUUAUUCUAAACUUGCCAAACUAAUUUGUCAUGUUUACAAUGUUCCAGGAAGAUGAGAAGCUACACCAGGAGCUACAAAGUUAUUUGAUACUAUAUUCUAUUUAUAAUAUGUGAACAAGUAAUUUUAUAAUUUUAUUAAAUGGGUAUGUCUUGCAUUUUUUAGUUUUUAAUGCAACACAAUGUGUGAUAUGUGAUACCAUAUUUUUUUCAUUAUACUGUUUUUGGGUGUUAUAGUUUUGUUGCAAGUUCUCACAACAAGUUAUUGAGUGAACCCAAUACCUAAAAUUUCUGGCUCCGCCCCUGCAUCCAUGUUUUCAGCAAAGCGCUCUCGUCCACCUAGUGCGCAUUGUACUAUCCUUCUUCCUUUAAUUGCAUCACAAAUCCAUUUUUAUACAAGUAUAAACAAAGAGAAGAGGACACAUCGAGCAAUCGUGGCUCCCCCUCUUUGUUUUAUAGUAAGUACAUAUUGCGAAGCUGCUGCUCAUGUCAUCUUGGCGCUGGUCCGGUCACUCCUCCGAAUCAGAGUCCAGCGGGCAGGAGCCGUCGUCGAUGGUGGCCAGUGGGUCGAACAUGUGCGAGGUCCGGUCCAUGCACCCGGUCACGAUGUCCAGCUUGCACCGGUCUCCUCCCUCCUCGUAGAAGCCGCCGAUAUCGCAGCUCGUGAUGACGAUGUUUUCAUCCGGAAAGAUGGCCCUGUCGCAGGCGCCCUCCAUGUUGAGCUCGUCAGCCAGCCCCUGCACCGACACCACCACUUCUUAUUACCGACUUCCAUUGCUUCACUUUAUAUGAAAGAUGGGGCCCACUGUGGCAGGGUGAUGGCUAGGCAUUCUUAACUCUUGACCUUUGUCAUGGAGUGUUUGAGAAACGUAAUUAAUU